AGAUAUUUUAAUUCUUGCUUUACAGCUGGUUGUUGUUUGUGGGUUUUUUUUAAUAUCUUGGUAUGAGCUGGUGCAUUACUUGCAACAAUGCUUCAUCAGCCACAGCCAAACUUUGAGCUCCUUGUGCAGUUAGGCAGCCUGUGUCUUGUAAGCCCUGCCCUGUUCACAUCAGUCAAAAAGGAGCAAUUUACAGCCAGAACCACUUUAUUUAGUUUCCCAGACUGGUUUCUGUGGGGUCAUCCCAAGGAAUCCAGAAAUGCACCCAGCCCAAUACCUGAAAUAGAACUUAGUCAUACAUGGAAGAGUCUCUUCAGUCAUACACACACAUGCUGAUGCUUUCCCUGUACCACUAAUGGACAUUUUUGUGGCUGCUGAGCUUUCUGCCUGUAACUGGCCAUUUUAGUGGCAGCCCAAUCACUUUCCCCUGAAAAGCCAUUCCCACUGUAGCUGUUGCCUCAGUGACCUCCACAUAAGAGGGGUAUCUAGAUCAGCUGUCUGCAGGAAGCAAACCUAGCUGAAUCUGUUAUUGUGAAAUAGGAAUGCUGUAUGACCUUUAAGUGGGCAGUGCACUUACAGCUGUGUUGCUUACUCCCUGUCCUUGUCUUUGAAAAGGUGCUGGUAAACAAGUAAAGAUACUGGUAAACAAUCAGUUCCUGACAGGCCAGAUCAACUUCAGUCAUAGGACUGAAGAAAGCUUGGUAACUUCAAGAAAGAGAUUCAGCUUCUUUGCUUCUGUCGUUGUAGCAUGCCAUGAAGGCACAAGAUUUUCUUUCCCUCUCGAAAUGUUUUGUAUGUGAACAAUCAAAUGUAGGCUCCAACCCAACAAGAAUUCAAAAUAAUGAUAACACAAGAUUGAACUCAGAUUAGCUUACCAAGAGAGGUCUCAACUUAGUUAAACUGCAUUAACUUGCAUUUGCUGUGGUUCACAAGCAUGCAUGUUGCCUCAAGUGCUGUAACAUGGUCAUGUGUCUAAAUGUAGCAGCCAGAAUAUUUUUAAAGGCAAUGUAAGUGUUGAUCAUAACUAAGGGAAAAUUGCAUUAAAGGUUAUUUUAUACACCUUCAUAAACCUUCAAUUAGAAAAGCACAUGAACUUUCAUCCAUUCUUGAGUUUUCUUGGUAUAAUCAAGAGGGCAAAGUUCCUUUAAAGAAACAUUCUUACACAGUAUCUAUAUACCAAACAUUACAGCCUUAUGCUAGUGAUAGUGCUGUGAAACAGCAAAGUUAACUGGAAGCCAUUUGUAAAAAAAAAAAAAAAAAAUCCAAACAAACAAAAAAAACCCCCAAGCCCCAAACCAACCAAAAAAAACCCCCCAAAACCAAACUGAAUUUAGUCUAUACUUAUGGUCUAGGCUGAGAACUGCCAAAAAGUAAAUAAAAGCAAAUAUUAUUUACUACUUUUAAGAACUAAACAAAAAGAAGUUGCUCUGAAUGCCUUGCGUUGCUUUUUCUUUUGCACCAGUGAGCUGAGAAAUCAUCUAGCACUGGCCACAUCCUGCUUUGUUCCCCUUGAUCACACUGUGCUCAUUUGAAGCACUCUCAUGUGGUAGUGAUGUCCUUAUGUAUCAGAACGAACUGCACAUCAUAGGGGCUGCAGCUUAGUCUUUUUCUGCUACUUGCAGAAUAAGCACAAAGACAACUUCUGUCAAGCAGACUUUCAAGAACCUGCUUUUUCCUAACAAUGUCUGCCUUAAAGCAUAGCCAAAAAUUCUCUUUGCAUCACUCCAUAUUGAGGGAAUACAGAACAAUGCCCAGGGUGGAGAAAAUCUCUCUCUUGGGCCAGAGGAGAGCCAUCUCAGGUCUUUGUGCUGUCACAGCUCAGCAGAAUAAAAUCACCCCUCCUGGUAGGAUACAUAGUUAAUCCGGACUCCUAUGCACUAGUGUGCUGCAGCUAAUUACAGCUCUAGUUCAGGACACUCAGCUCAUGGCCUGUCCACAUAGAUCUUCCACCUGAACUUCUGUUUGAACCUAGUCUCUGUUUUUAACAGUGCUCAAAGCUCUUUGUCAGUGUGCUUACCUCCUUUCUCAAGGGCUGUGAUAUGUCUUAGCAGGUGUCAAUCCAUGAGCGAUGCCAGAUCUACAACCAGCACAGCUCUGGAUUUAAUUUUUUGUUGUUAUUUUGCUUACAAAGUUGAGAUUUCAGGAGGGCAGGCAUGCCCUAUUAUCCCCUUAUUAAUCAAGAAAUGGCAUGUCCCUAGAGCUACCAUAGAUAUAUAUGGACCUGAUAAAGAAAAACCAUUUCUCCAGCCUAGUGGGUGAGGCUUAGAGCCUCUUGGAGCAGCCUUAGGACAAGGUAUGAGCUGCAUGGCUUGCUAACUUCCAGGAGGCUGUCGCAUACAAGAACAGCAUGUGAAGGGAAGUCAGCCCUUCCUUACAUCACAGUUAACUGCAGCUUGGAUUUUGUCCUCUCAGAGAUGUGCACAGCCCACAGCUUGUUCACUGACACUUCUGCUGGAAAACAGGAGGGAAGCAAAAGGUAAUAGUCAUCACCCUGGUACUGAUAAAGAUGAAAAGACUAAUGUAUUUAAGAUAUUACUGGUCCAGCCCAAGAGUUCUUGUUUGUCUGUCUUUGUUAGCUAACCUGCACGUCCCUUUUGUUCCAAAGUUGGCCCCUUCUGUUCCUGUCUGACAAAACAUGUACUCAAAAGCUAGCCGUGAACAUACUGGUACAUAGGCCCCCCUCUGCAUGUGACUCAGCAACUCAUCUCUUGUGUUUGAGUGGCAGGCAUGAGAGCACAGGGGCAGGACAUAAUGUCAGAGUCUGCUCUGCCUAAGCAAUCAGCCUCCAUUUACUGUCUUAUUUCCUAGCCACAUGUGUCAAGUUACUGACUUGCUUAGAGGCUGGAUGUAGUUUCCUCUGUAUUUUUCCAGCCACACGUUAGUUGUAGCCAGAAGAGUUUGUGCAGCAAGACAAUGGGUCCUACUUCCCAUUUGUGAGACCUACCAGUCUGCAAAAGAUGGUCCCUGCAGGGAAAUUGAAAGGAGUGGAUGGAAAGAAAGAAGUCUUGAUGAGCUCCUGAGAAUUGUAUUCAGUGCUCCUCAGCCAGCAUGGAAAUUCCUAGAAGAAACCAAAGGAAGGACAUCUUGUCCUGUUCCCCAGGUUAACAUGCCCUUUAAGAAUCAGGAAAAUGUACAGUCUAGCUCCCUGCUGUGUGCACAGAUCUGGAAGGAGUAGAGACUUCAAACCACUGGUACAAAGUUCACAAACUCAGUGAUGUUUCUCAAUAACAGUAAGUCCUAAACAUACUCUGAAGUGAUGUUGCUGAUCCUGGUUUUUGUGGGGAAGAUACACGUUUCCUUGUGACCAAAGCUGGGUGCUCCAUGUGGACAAGGUCAUUUCUUCUGAGGAUUGGUGACUCUCCGGAGACCUUUUAAUCGACUAAGCAACUCCGUAAUGAAGUCCUACAACGAGAAUUGGUUGAAGAAGGGUGUCGUGUUAAUUCCAGUGCUCACCAGCCCAAAGAGUACUAUGGCACUUGCAUUAUUGCCACAUUCACCUUCAUGUUGAGCAGAAACCAGAAUUUUGACACGUAUUGAGCAAACCUAUCUUUUAGCUUAGGAAAGGAGACCUUUCAAUGGAUGAGAAGGAUCUAAAAGCUCCUCUACUUACCUUCCCCUGUCUCCCUCUGGAGCAGCCAUGUUUACUUUCUCCUCAGGAGCCAGCCUGCCCCUCUUCAUCCCAGAUACCUGCUUUUUCCACCUUGAGAUGACCUCAGGAUGCUGUUGUCCUCUGUUAGGUUCCACUGCUUCCUGUUGCCACCAUAACCUCCUGCCUACUUCUACUGCCCUCCCAAUCUAGGGCAAAGCAAGUCAUCCCUCUUGUUGAACCUGUAAAGCUCCAUGUUGUGGAUUGCAAACUAUCUCGGAGCUGUGCCAAUUCUAUAAGGAAGUGGCUGGCAGAGAAGAGGUGGAGCAAAACACACAUAGCACUAAUGAUAACCUGGAGCAGGGGUUAGGGACGAGCAGAGCAGAUAGAUGAGCAGUUAAUGGAGAUGAACCCUGACGACUAUGCUGACACCACCAAGGACUAUGAACUAAACUGGACCAUCUGGUUAUUCCAAGCAGAAGGGAAUGAGACUAGUGCAAAAUUUACCUUCUGCAUGACAAGUAACAUCACAAUAAAGGAGUGUGCAGCCUUUCUUCACCCAAAGAGAUAGCUACGUGUCCUUGUAAUUAGGCAAGGUCACUGGAAGUAUUGCAGCUUGUUACCAUCUGUGCUGUGUGGAAGCCCAGCUUCCUCACUUGGGUGGGUGAUCAGGGGUUGCCUGUCACAGCAUGCUCUGGAAGGAAAUGCCUAGGAUCAUACAUACCUUUUCAGUCAGACUUUUCAGAGGAAACUGGUUUGUUUCCUCUGUCUGCUUUCUGCAGAUAGGCUGCUGUGAUCUUUCAAGGGCACUGGAUUCAAGAUCACCAGGGUGAAAGUACGUAUUCUUGCCAAUGGGGCAGCAGUAUCUGUCUGUAGUUAGCAAGUACCAUGCUGUCCUCAAGACACUUUCAUGGCUCAUGAAUCAGUAGAGCAAACUCUUCUCAGUUAUCUCUCUGGGAAUGCAGGGUUCUUGCCUAAGAUCUGAAAUUCAAACACUCUGAGAACUAUUUCCCUAUUGCCAGCCUUGUCUGCUGAAUCCCUGCUAGGAGACUAUCUGUAAUGAUUGUUACAGCAGAGUUUAAUUUCAGCGAUAGUUGUGCAUCCACCUCAUUUUCUGUAUGGUCAUCACUGUACAGCUACAUAGGCUCAACAAGAUGUGGAGACUGAUGAAUGAUGUCCAAGCACAGUGUUCACAUGCAAUGAAUGUGACUGAAGCAGUGCUGGGAGACUCCAUUUUGCACAGGUAUGCAGUGCAGUGAAGACAAUUGCUGUGCGGUGCAUGCACUACACUGCAAAGUGUUGGACUCCACUCCUUUGGACAUUGUAAGAGCUUGUGGGAUUUCUUUAACUCUCUAACUCAAAACCAGUACUUGUAAAGUUCACAUGGGGAAGAAAACCCCACACGUGUAAGACUAACUUGCGUGGCCACUGCUCAACAAUUAUCUGCCCAAUCCAAUCUGAGGGCCAUCCUACAAUCUUGUCACUCAAAACACUAGAGUGGUUUAAGCUACGAAUGCAUUUAGUUAACAGUGUGCAAGAUGGUUACAUGAGCUGUAUCACUGUCUAUAGCUUUUCUACACUGAGAACCAAAUGGUAACUCGGCCUGGUCAGCUUAGGAUGUCCAAAACAUGGAACGAACUUUC